rnacentral:rRNA from 1 species
AGCGAACGCUGGCGGCAGGCCUAACACAUGCAAGUCGAACGAAGUCUUCGGACUUAGUGGCGGACGGGUGAGUAACACGUGGGAACGUACCUUUUGGUUCGGAACAACUCAGGGAAACUUGAGCUAGUACCGAAUGUGCCCUUCGGGGGAAAGAUUUAUCGCCAUUAGAGCGGCCCGCGUUAGAUUAGCUAGUUGGUGGG